GGAAGAGGUUUUUAUUAGGCUGGGACCGUCAGCAGACUCAUGUCUUAAGAGGCGAGCUCCCUGAAAAAGAAAUUCCUAGCCCUUUUAAGAGCUUACAACUCUAAGGGGUCCCCGUGAAAGGGUCAUGAUAGCUCAAGUAAGCGUGAGGAACGUGACUGGGGGCUACAUACAUCAGCUCACAGAACAAAAAGUUUCACAGUGCUUUCUCAUACAAUGUCUGGAAUUUACAGGUAACACCAGUAGUUUUGGUCAGGG
rnacentral:lncRNA from 1 species